AGGCAGGAGCAUGGAAGCAGAAUGGGAAGAAGAGGCUGGUAUGCAUAUAUGAAAAUUUAAUCCCAAGUAACGAUCUGCACAUCAAAAGAAUUUGCAAGCAUGCCUUAUAGGCUUAGAUAUUUGAAUUCUAGUGAUCUGGCUAUGGAUUCUGCAUUAUAUCGGCUUUAUCAAUGGCCUCAGAGGUCAAACUGGCUCCCUCAUCCCCUCAGACCCUGCCUCCAAGGGCUGAGCAGCACUUUCAUCCUGCACUGAGCUCAUCCAUCACCCUCAAGUUCUGCCCCGAGCAGCUCCUGCACCUCUUGGCCAAGGGCUGCUGAGAGCAGCUGAGCAGACAGAAAAUGGAUUUAAACACCCAAGGAGGUGCUCACAUUCCCAUGGGAACUGAGGAGCUGUGUGGCACAGUGUGUGACAGCAGGGCUGGGAGGUCCAAAGCACCCUGGACACUUGAGCAGCUUCCCUUCCAGCUCAGGAGGGUGCCAAGCCCCAGGCCAGGGCUUCCUCUCUUUUGCCAAAACCAGGGGGAACUUCUCAGCAGCUGAGGAAAGAAGGCAGAAGCCAAAUACCAGCAUGGGAGAGAGAGCAGGCCGGUGCUUUGGGAGGUGGUGACAAGCUUUGGCGAAGAAUCCAAACUUUUUGCCAGAAAGAGAAACUCCCCCGUUCGCUGCAGGAGCUCCUUCCAGGCUCGUUCCCUCACUGCCUGCAGGCAAACACACACACACACACUCAUCCUCUCCCCACUGGAGCUCUCCUCAAAGGCAGCUGAGAGGGCGAAACCUCUGCCGUGGCUUUGAGCACGGCUGUGGCUCGCCCGAGGUGCACAGAAGGCUGGGCAGUAGGGGUUGGUCACUUGGCCUCUAAAGCAAGAUAAGGCAUUUUCUCUGCCAUCAUCCAAAUCAAGUAUUGGGCUCUGUUCGUUCAGAUGAUCUCUGCUACUCCCUCCCUUGAUUAGCCACAUAGCAGAGCUUGAACCCAAAGGAAACAAGACAGCAUGAGAGAGAGAAAAUGUCUGCCUCUUGCUUUUCAUCUGCCAUUUCAACAACACUGGCUUCUCCAACAGCAGCAGUAGAUGCUGAUCCCCUGACCUGCUCUGAACGCCACAAUUAACUAAUUUCACUAUGACCUGGGGCAGGGGGAAGCAGCUCCCACCAUCCUCUGACAGGGAAGGGACUGGGCAGUGCCAGAACCAGCACGUCUGGACACAUCUGGGUGAUCUGACCUUGUAAGAGUUAAGCAACACGUGGAGAAAAGAACCUAUUUCUGAAGAGUGGUGUACAAAAGCUUGUAAAAAUUCCUUCCAGAUUAUUUUUUCCUAACCUGUGAUGAUGUUUGUAACAAGCACAUCUCAGAGGAAAGACUCCAUGAGACAUGGUAAGCACAUCUGUGAUAAAUGCUGUCUAAAGGGCAGAAGAGACCAAUCUGCCAUGAGAAACAAAAAAAAAA